rnacentral:rRNA from 1 species
UACGUAGGGUGCAAGCGUUGUCCGGAAUUAUUGGGCGUAAAGAGCUCGUAGGCGGUUCGUCGCGUCGGCUGUGAAAUCCCGAGGCUCAACCUCGGGUCUGCAGUCGAUACGGGCGGACUGGAGUUCGGCAGGGGAGACUGGAAUUCCUGGUGUAGCGGUGAAAUGCGCAGAUAUCAGGAAGAACACCCGUGGCGAAGGCGGCUCUCUGGAACGCAACUGACGCUGAGACGCGAAAGCGUGGGGAGCAAACAGG